GUAGGUGAACCUGCGGAAGGAUCAUUACCUUUUGCUACUAGCUCUUAGGCUUAGCCCUGAGAUUUGCUAUGGCAUUAAACCCUUGCUUACCUGUACCUUUUGUGCUCCCUUUGGCAGACGCAAGCCUGCCAAAGGACCUAUAAACCUUUCUUUAGCAUUGUAUCCUUCUGAGCAUGAUAAUUAUAAUAACUUUCAACAAUGGAUCUCUUGGCUCUGGCAUCGAUGAAGAACGCAGCAUCUGACUGACUAC
rnacentral:misc_RNA from 1 species